rnacentral:rRNA from 1 species
GACAUGCAGAGAACUUUCCAGAGAUGGAUUGGUGCCCUUCGGGGAACUCUGACACAGGUGCUGCAUGGCUGUCGUCAGCUCGUGCGUGAGAUGUUGGGUUAAGUCCCGUAACGAGCGCAACCCUUGUCCUUAGUUACCAGCACGUUAUGGUGGGCACUCUAAGGAGACUGCCGGUGACAACCGGAGGAAGGUGGGGAUGACGUCAAGUCAUCAUGGCCCUUACGGCCUGGGCUACACACGUGCUACAAUGGUCGGUACAAAGGGUUGCCAAGCCGCGAGGGUGGAGCUAAUCCCAUAAAACCGAUCGUAGUCCGGAUCGCAGUCUGCAACUCGACUGCGUGAAGUCGGAAUCGCUAGUAAUCGUGAAUCAGAAUGUCACGGUGAAUACGUUCCCGGGCCUU